rnacentral:rRNA from 1 species
AUGUUUCCGUUCAAGUUUAAGAGGAAGCAAUUUCCUAUAAGUCUUAGCUUUGCUAUGACCAUUAAUAAGGCUCAAGGGCAGACCAUCCCGAUUGCUGGUGUCUACCUACCCAAUCCCCUGUUCUCUCAUGGUCAGCUCUAUGUUGCUUUGUCUCGAGCCACCGCGAAGAGAAACAUAAAGAUACUCAUUCAGAAGGAGAAGCCGAAGGAGAAGGCCAACAAGCAAAAGGACAAUCCAAAGAAGCGAAAAAGACCGACCAUAUCCUUACUGACCUCGAUGAAGAACAUCGUCUACAAGGAAGUCCUUACAGGCUGA